rnacentral:rRNA from 1 species
CCUACGGGAGGCAGCAGUGAGGAAUAUUGGUCAAUGGCCGGAAGGCUGAACCAGCCAAGCCGCGUGAAGGACGAAGGUGCCAAGCAUUGUAAACUUCUUUUGUCAAGGGACAAAAUCAGGCUCGAGAGCCUGACCGAGGGUACUUGAAGAAAAAGCAUCGGCUAACUCCGUGCCAGCAGCCGCGGUAAUACGGAGGAUGCGAGCGUUAUCCGGAUUUAUUGGGUUUAAAGGGUGCGUAGGCGGACUGUUAAGUCAGCGGUGAAAGUUUGUGGCUCAACCAUAAAAUUGCCGUUGAAACUGGUUGACUUGAGUAUAUUUGAGGUAGGCGGAAUGCGUGGUGUAGCGGUGAAAUGCAUAGAUAUCACGCAGAACUCCGAUUGUGAAGGCAGCUUACUAAACUAUAACUGACACUGAAGCACGAAAGCGUGGGGAUCAAACAGGAUUAGAUACCCCUGUAGUC